rnacentral:lncRNA from 1 species
GUAAAGUUUGCCACUUGAUCAGAAUCCUGUCUUGUGGUCAUUCUUUUUGCGUCUUUUGUCCCCAUUCCCUAUCCCUGACUCUCUUGCCCCAGGUUGAUGUCCUGCAGGUCAGGACAACUGGUGCCCAAAGUGAGGCUGGAUAGAGUUGGGGAUCUGGGAACUUCAGUGCUCAUUAGAGGGACGGCCUGUCCAUGCAGUGAGGCGUCCAAGACAAGGUCUAUUGUGAGCCUCGGUUGGAGGAAGACCCAGCAGCCUGCCCAGCACUUGGGACUUUCGGUUCAUGAGCACCAACUACAUGGAAAAGUUUGUCUGGUGGAAAUGCGGCUGGAGAGAAGCAGGAAACAGGACACAAGAGAGUGAGACGGAGCAAGGAGCUACAAAGCUGCUAACACAUGUUCUGGAAUGCAGAUGGUGAUCUUCUCUCCAAAGAAGACUUGCUUCAAUGACAUCUCCCUUCUUUGUGCUCACUUGGUGCUUCUCAUGAAAUUAGCAAGGAUCUAAGAACAUUGAACUUAAUUAUUCAAGUAUUAUCUUCACCUAAAGACGUCUCUUUUUUGGCGGGAGGGGGGUAGAUUGUUAGAGUAAUGCUGAUUCAUUAAGUCAAUAGUUUAAUGAGUCCUCUAUGUACUAAGUACUUUCUUUAAAAUUUGAAACUACAACAUUUAAUAAAAUAGACUAUAUAUCUAUAUAGAUAUAGGUAUCUGCAUUUUUGGGACAGUGUUUCUCUGUAUAGCCUGGACUAUCCUGGAACUCAUUGAUCUAUAGGCCAGGCUGGCCUCUAACUCAGAGAUCUGUCUGCCUCUUUCUACUGAGUACUGGGAUUAAAGGUGUGCGCCACCACUGCCUGACUGAUAGAUGUAUAUUUUAAACUUUUCGAAGGUUACAAUUUUUAAAGACAAG